GCACCUCCAAGGUCAGGACGCCGUGGUUCCACAUAAGCGGCUCGCGCUCACCACUUCUUUCAGGUCACUCUCUGGUUUCCCGGCCACCAUAAAGGGCCACGUCUGCAGGAGAGAAAAGAGUGGAGGAGGGUCAAAUUCGAACAGAAGUAAGAACACAAAGAUGAAAGCUCUGGCCCAGAUCUUGACUUAGAUCAUUAUUUAUCAGUCAUAGAGUGGCUCUGUGUUAAGCCUGGGCUGUGUGGUGUAUGUACCUCCUGAGGAUUCAGACGGAAUGGAAGCAGCCCUCUUCUCCACGUGCUCCCAGCUGUGUGCAGGAGAAAGACCUGUAACCAGCGACACAUAGCUAAAUUUCUCUCCCUGCUUGAUGGAUCCAGGAAAACGGGUGGCUGAAGCUACUGGGAAUGAAGAGCCCUAACCCAGGAGAUCGCGGUGAGCCCCCCUGGAAAUGGCGCCCUCUGUAGGAGAAGAGGAGAGAGGUAGAACUUGUAGAGACAUCUUGCCUGAAAG